rnacentral:lncRNA from 1 species
GGUUAAACGCUUACACAAUACCAUCGUAGAAAUCAAUAAUCAUAAACUCAAGGCCCAACAAGACAAACUUGAUAAAAUAAAUAAGCAAUUAGAUGAAUGUGCUUCUGCUAUUACUAAAGCCCAAGUAGCAAUCAAGACUGCUGACAGAAACCUUCAAAAGGCACAAGACUCUGUCUUGCGUACAGAGAAAGAAAUAAAAGAUACUGAGAAAGAGGUGGAUGACCUAACAGCAGAGCUGAAAAGUCUUGAGGACAAAGCAGCAGAGGUCGUAAAGAAUACAAAUGCUGCAGAGCAGUUCUUUUCGGUGUUUAGGAAUCCUUACCAGAGAUCCAGAAAGAACAUCGCAAUCUGCUUCAAGAAUUAAAAGUUAUUCAAGAAAAUGAACAUGCUCUUCAAAAAGAUGCACUUAGUAUUAAGUUGAAACUUGAACAAAUAGAUGGUCACAUUGCUGAACAUAAUUCUAAAAUAAAAUAUUGGCACAAAGAGAUUUCAAAAAUAUCACUGCAUCCUAUAGAAGAUAAUCCUAUUGAAGAGAUUUCGGUUCUAAGCCCAGAGGAUCUUGAAGCGAUCAAGAAUCCAGAUUCUAUAACAAAUCAAAUUGCACUUUUGGAAGCCCGGUGUCAUGAAAUGAAACCAAACCUCGGUGCCAUCGCAGAGUAUAAAAAGAAGGAAGAAUUGUAUUUGCAACGGGUAGCAGAAUUGGACAAAAUUACUUAUGAAAGAGACAGUUUUAGACAGGCAUAUGAAGAUCUUCGGAAACAAAGGCUUAAUGAAUUUAUGGCAGGUUUUUAUAUAAUAACAAAUAAAUUAAAGGAAAAUUACCAAAUGCU